CUCAUACUAGAGAAUUCACGCCACUAUUCGGCACUCAAAUGGAUGAUAUCUAGGAGCCAUCGAAGUCGUAUCGUCUAUUUUGAAAAGAUGGUGGGAUGCUGGGAUUCCCCGGCAUCCCUAUACUUAUGCCCGUUGGGAGGACGUGUUCAACAGCUUAUUGCAUAUUUGGAGCCCCUUUUUCUAUCUACUUUUUCUCCUCUUCUUUUCCUUCUUCCCUUCUCUUUGAGACUAGAUGACAUUCAAUGUCAGGUAGGAUAUAAAAUUGGUGCAAGGUGUGAUCGACAGAGACCCUUAAUUAUGUAUGGGCCUAGAAUUUCGCUUAAAUAUGGGCAGAAUAUUUACACAACGACGGAA
rnacentral:sRNA from 1 species